CGCGGUCGGUGGGUGAUGCCCGCUCCUUGCGCGGUUUGGGGAGGGCUCGUUGGAGAUCCGCGGCAGGAAGACCGUGGCGUGCGGGAGUCAGUGCCUUGCUGCGCCGCCGCGUUCCCUGCACGGGGCUCCAGAGCCUGGGCUGUGGCCGUCGGGGUCUGUUCCUUCCAGAUGCCGGUGCCUAGACUACCACGGGGAGCACUGCCCUUCCGCGGGUUCUGGGGAGACAGCGGACCUUGCAAACGGUCAAGCCCGUAGUUGAGCAUGGAAACGCGGGGAGGACGCUGAAGUCCUUAGACAUGGUGACAGCGGCCAUUUAGAGGACACGGCCGGCGGGGACCGGAGAAUAAAUGCCAGCUCCUCGCGAGGAGUUUUGGGCUUUGCUGCUGGAUGUGGCGGAGCACAGGUCUCUGCUCUGGUCUGAAUCCUCCUCUCCCACGUGAGUUGUCGUGAGAGAGCGCUUCUGGGAUCCGCCGGCCUGCGUCCACACCGGACUCCACCACCUGGGAUCCCGGAGGCCUUACCGACCCCCCAGAACUCCCGUUGCGCGCUGCCCUGGCCGGGCCUGACCUGUGCGCACCCGGAGGCUGGGCUCUUGGACCCCAGCUCAGGGAAGCCGUGCUCAUCCAUGAAAUCGGUGUGACCAUCUCCGAUGGAGACUGGUUUGUCCAGCAGGUGUUCCCCAGAACCCCACUCACGUUGGACCCAGUGUCUUUGGGUGUCCCGUGCUCGUGCCUGCUCUGCCCCCCGUUGCCCCCCUUGCCCAGGCCCCAGAGAGGGGCGGUCUGCAGCAGCUUUCCCGAGCACUCCUUUGGGCCCGGGUCCUGCUUUCCCUCCUUUCUGGACGCCUUCUCCGCUCCCCCAAACCCCAGUUGUCCUUUAUCCUGAGAGUUGUCAACAGUCCACGUUUCAAACAAAAUUUCUCCCCUUCCCGUUCCCCUCCUCUCCCCUCGUCUCCCCCUCCCUCUCCCCCUCCUCCUCCCCCUCCUCCUUCCUGGCCUGAUAACCGGUUGAGAGAAGCGGCCAUCCUGCGGACAUCAGGACCCUUCACCUGCACACACGUUGGCAUUCCUCUGGUUAAAGGAAGGGGACAGGGAGCGUCCUUACGCACGGGCCACAGUCGGCCUCUGACCUGUCUUACUGGAGAGCACGCCCCGCCCUGCCCCUUCCAUGACUCAGGGAGGUUUUGGAGAGCGAGCCGGUGGGUGUCCUCGGGUGUCGCUGCCCUUGCCCCCCGCCCCUGUAUUUUGGUGCUGAGGGCUGGCUCCGGGCCCUGUGCACAUUUGCAGCGGGAACACCUCCUUCUCAGCCCUCCUGCUUGGGGCCUCGUCGUGCGCGGGCACCGGGCCUCGUGUAAAGUGGGCAGGUCCCCUCAGCGGACACUUGGUGUGCGCCUCUUCCUGCCAGGAGUGAGUGGACUGGCUCCCACUGUCCUGAGCGCCCCCUGCCCCCAGCCUCUGGCUGUGCCACGGGACGAGGUUGUGUGGAGCUGAGUGACCCGCCUGAGAGGCCCAGAGAGGGAGCCAGCAGUGCUGAGUGUUCACGCGAGCCCAGACAGGAACUCCUCGUACUUGGCUCAGGACAGGGUCCCGAGUGGCUCCCUCACCCCCGGGUCUGCUGCAGUGCCUGGAGACACAGCCUGGUACCACCGUGGACGGACCAGAUGGCUGCAGAGUGCCCCUGUUGCCUUCCCCGAGUCCCCCAGGCAGUGGGACAGACGCUGUCCAGAUGCUCUGGCUCACUGGACCUUCAGCCUGGAUUGGCGGAGCCUGUCUAGGGGCAGGAGAAGGGUGUGGUAGGCCGGGGGCUCCCUUUCAUGCUUCCCGAGGCCUCACGGGCACUCCUGACAGGAUGGGGGUCCAGUUACAAUGGUCAAGUCACAGAUAAAAUAAGGCUUCUAGGGCCGAGAGGGCCAGGAGCCACCUCCAUCUCCACUCUCCUAUUGCCACCCACCCCCCAGCCCCACUUCUGCCUCCUCCUCCAGGGAGCCAGCCUGGGUUGCCAUGUGUCACAGGAGAAGGCAAAGCUGGGACCUCUUGUCUAAGACAUUUCUAUGCAGAGCUGCCAAGGACGGCCCAAGAUGUGCUGACCAGAUGGCAACCCCGAGCUGCACACAGGCCGAAAUCACUGUGUUCCAAUCCCAGCCUUGCACAAAGCCUUGACAAAGCCAGACUUGCACAGAUGUUUCCACUCAGGGCUGGGCAGAGAUGCCCCAGAGGCGAACAACGGCAAAGAGAGGCCACAGCCUCCCUCGGCUCGCAGGCCGGCCUUCAGGCAGCUGCUGGCUGGCUUCAGAGGG